rnacentral:lncRNA from 1 species
UCAAGUAUCAUAUUUUUAACAUAUUUAAAACACAUGAAAUAAAGCACAUAAAAUCAUAAUUUGCUCAAGAGUGUCAUGCUCAUGAUGCUUAUGUUUGAUGGAAUGCUUAUGCAGGGCUUUGGUGAGACUAAGUGCAUGCUUAACACCUAGGGUGUUACAGCCCUUCCCCCCUUAGGGAAAUCUCGUCCCGAGAUUUUGGGUUACUAACCAUUUCUUGUGAAAUUUUGGAUAAACUGCUUUUAAGUAAUCCUCCGUUUCCCAAGUGGCAUCCCUAUCGUCAUGAUGACUCCACACCACUUUAUAAGUUCUGACAAUUCUGUUUCGGGUUACUCGCUCCUUGGUAUCCACGAUCCCCACUGGCUGCUCUUUAUACUCUAAGUCUGCUUUUAUUUUGAUCCCUCGAGGUUCAACUCUUUGCUCAGGCACUUUCAAACAUUUCCGUAGUUGCGACACAUGGAAGACCGGAAAGAUCGAGCUCAUCUCUUCAGGUAAUUGAAUCUUAUAGGCCA